ACGGCCACACCAUGCUGAAUAUACCGGCUCUCGUUCGAUCACCGAAGUCAAGCAUCAUUGGGCGCGGUCAGUACUUGGGUGGGUGACCACCUGGGAACAC
rnacentral:rRNA from 1 species